GCUGUGAGCGGAGGGUUGGUGCUUUGACUGAGCCGCUUGCCUGAUGGCGCUCGGCAAUUGGCGGGAGGGGAGGCGUUAACUAGAGGGAGGAGAAACAGCCCCGAGCGACGACACCCGCCUUUCCACCAAGACGCUAUCCUCCCCCAAGUCUAACGAGGCCAAGAGACCUUCCGCUGCAUGCAGCUCGCUCGCCCCGGAAACAAAACCUUUUAAAAACCCACCCUGUCAGAAGCGGGAGGAAUUGACGCGUCCGGAAGGACGGACAGCUUCGCCGUUGCUAGGCGACAAGGCAGGCACACCUGAGCGCUCUCCCGACCAAGAGACCGGCUUCCCUCCCCACAGCAGUCAAAAUAGCUGCUUCAGAAGACAGGCGACUGAAGAACUAACUACUUUGGCAGAAGACAGGAAAGCGAUUCUUUUGCUGUCAGAUGUCUUUCUGCUUGACUGAACUACACCUGUGGUCUCUGAAAAGCACCUUACACAUUGCAGAUAGAGACAUCGGCGUGUACCAGUACUAUGACAAGAAAGAUCCACCAGUAUCAGCAACAGAGCAUGGUAACUUAGAAGAAAAACAAAGGCUGGCAGAAUCACGAGAUUAUCCUUGGACACUCAAAAACAGACGCCCAGAAAAACUUCGAGACUCACUGAAAGAGUUGGAGGAACUGAUGCAAAGCAGUCAGUGUGUGCUGAGCAAAUGGAAGAACAAAUACAUCUGUCAGCUCCUCUUUGGUUCAGGUGUGCUGGUGUCCCUAAGCCUUUCUGGGCCUCAGCUGGAGAAAGUGGUGAUUGACAGGAGCCUGGUGGGGAAGCUCAUCUCAGACACCAUCAGUGACGCUCUUCUUACAGACAAUUUCAUCAUCUUAUCCUUUUUGGCACAAAACAAACUAUGUUUUAUUCCAUUUGCAAAGAAGAUGGAUUCUCUUGAUGUAAACAAGAGAUUGGACAAACUUUCAGCCUUGGACUAUAAGAUUUCCUACUGUGACAUACCUGGCCCUGCAAACAGGACAGUAGAGCGUCACUUAGCUAUCAACUCCAUUCAGGAUCUAAUUAUUUGCUGGUGGCCACUGGUCAGUGAUGACGCUUGGCCUUGGACUCCAGUUUCUUCUGAGAAGGACAAAGCCAAUAUCCUGCUUCUGGGUCUCACUCAAAGAGGACUGGAGGUUCUGAGUUCUGUUCGCACAGAAUGGAAUCCUCUGGAUGUUUACUUUGGCACCAAACAACCUUAUCAGGUGUUCACAGUGGAGAGCUCCGUCAGUGUAGACAAGGAGCCCAUGGCUGACAGCUAUACCUAUGAAUGUGUGCGGAACAAGCUCCAUUGCGCAUCAGUUACCAGAAUACCACUGAGAUCGAAGGCCAUCAGCUGUUGCAGGACUCCUACUGCAGACAGACUGAUUGUGGGCUGCGAAGACUCCUCAGUAAUUCUCUAUGAGGCUCACCGUGGAGCCACUCUCCUGGCCCAGGCUGAACUUUUACCUUCGUUAAUAAGCUGCCACCCAAGUGGUGCCAUUCUGCUGGUUGGCAGCAACCAAGGGGAGCUGCAAAUUUUUGACAUUGCUCUAUCCCCUAUUAGCAUCCAGCUCUUGGCUGAAGAUCGAUUACCCAAGAAGACUCUGCAAUUCAAUAAAUUCUUUGAUGUUUCAAGCAGUCUUGUUCAAAUGCAGUGGGUAGCUCCUCCCGUUACUUCCCAGAAGCCUGGAAGAGGAGAAAUCUAUGACCUCCUCUUCCUCAGGUUCAGCAGAGGACCUUUGGGUGUGCUGUUGUUUAAACUUGGUGUCCUCACUCGAGGACAGCUGGGCCUGGUGGACCUCGUCUUCCAGUACAUUCACUGUGGCCAGGUGGAUGAGGCAGUAGACAUCCUGAGCAGCAUGGACUGGGACGCGCUGGGCCGGCAGUGCUUCAUCAGCAUGAGCGCCAUCGUGAACCACCUUCUUAGACAAAGGCUCACUCCCGAGAAAGAAGCACAGCUCGAGGCAAGCCUUGGAACCUUCUAUGCUCCAGCAAGACCACUUCUGGAUACAACGAUUUUGGAAUAUAGAGAUCCGAUCGGCAAAUACGCCCGGAGGUUCUUCCACCACUUGCUCAGGUUCCAGAGGUUUGAAAAGGCCUUUCUCUUAGCUGUUGACAUUGGUGCUCGGGACCUAUUUAUGGUUUCAGAUUGCUUCCCUGCCUGUUCCUUUGAGUCCUCUCUGUGGUCACUGGUCCUUUCUCAGGCUGUAGGCCUCUGGCAUCUUUAUCUGGCACCUCAGCUGUCUAACCACCUUGUUCUCCACCGUUGGCAAGUUGUCAGGGAAAGCCAGUUGCAGUAGCACUGUGACACCUACAUGUUUGAGUGGGAGUCUUAUAAAAAACCAGGACUGUCCGCAGAAGAGGCAGAGAGAGUGGGAGACCAAGGGAACAGAGGGCACCAGACUUAGGAUAAAAUUGGACGGAUUCGGAAAAGGUGAAUGAACGUGAAGACAUCCACUCGAAACAAAAACAAGAAAGUGAACGAUUGGAGUGGCUGCAGAAGCAGACUCACGUCUUGAGGGGCCUCAUUAAACCACAGCCUGCAGGAAGCGCUUCCAGGAAUGUCCUACCAACACAGGGUACUCAACUAGAGCAGCCUUUACUCAGACAUUUAAAAUAACUGCAUAAAAAUACCAAUAACUAAUGUGAACUACAGUUGUUCUCAAAGAGAAACCACAAUGCCAAGAGAUAAUAGGGCAUCUUUUAAAGUGCUGAAAAAUAUUAAAGUGCUGAACACAAAAUACAUUCAGUGAAAAUAUCCAUAGGCAAGAGUAAAAUAUAAUUUUAAACAAAGGUGACAGAAUGCAGCACCAACAGGUCUGUACUGUUGAGAAAAGCAAUGAGUAAAGGUUUGGGUAAGAAGUUCAAACCAGAACUUGGGUAUGCACCAAAGCUUUGGAAAUGAGAAGCAUAUGAAUUAAUAGUCUUUUCUCUUCAUCUUACUAUUCUUGAAAGCAUAAUUGAGACAUGAAAAUUUAAAUGUUUGAGAUGUGUAAGUUUAUCCUCAUUCUUAAGCAUUAGAAAGCAUAUGCGUAUAGUAUAUCAGCAUGGUAUCCAACAAAUAUGUACAGUUUGAUGUGUUAAUUUGUGUGUGGCUAGCUUUUAAGGGGCCACAGUCUUCUUUAAAAGAAGAUAUUUAAAAUAAAAGUUAUGCUGUUAGCAUUGUGUUUAUUGCUUGUUAAGAAUGAAAUGAGUGAUGGUAACAUGGGAAGGACAGAUGGAAUUAUACUGCUAUGUGGUUGGUAACUUUUCUGAAGUGCCACAGUUCUAGCUACAUGGUGACAAGUUAAAAUUGCAUAUUAUACCAAGGAGAGGGUUUUCUUCUAAGUAAAAAGCAGUGACUAUGUGGCUUUCAAAAGUCAAUACAGAAAAUUGAAAGAUUUGAAAAUAUUCUGCCUAAAACCAGAAA